AUUGAACGCUGGCGGCAGGCCUAACACAUGAAAGUCGAGCGAGCGGCGGACGGGUGAGUAAUGUAUGGGUACUGACCGAUAGAGGGGGAUAACUACUGGAAACGGUAGCUAAUAGCGCAUACUAUCGAAUUACCAAUAUGGGCGUAGUUAGUGGGUGGGGUAAUGGCUCACCUAGGCGACGAUGCCUAGCUGGUCUGAGAGGAGGAUCAGCCACACUGGAACUGAGACACGGCCCAGACGCCGACGGAGGCAGCAGUGGGGAAUAUGGAACAAUGGGCGCAAGCCUGAUGCAGCCAUGCCGCGUGUAUGAAGAAGGCCUGAGGGUUGUAAAGUACUUUCAGUCGUGAGGCGUUACCGACAGAAGAAGCACCGGCUAACUCCGUGCCAGCCGACGCGGUAAUAC
rnacentral:rRNA from 1 species